AUUGAACGCUGGCGGCAGGCCUAACACCUGCAAGUCGAACGAGUGGCGGACGGGUGAGUAAUGUCUGGGCAACUGCCUGAUGGAGGGGGAUAACUACUGGAAACGGUAGCUAAUACCGCAUACCAUCAGAUGUGCCCAGAUGGGAUUAGCUAGUUGGUGGGGUAACGGCUCCCCAAGGCGACGACCCCUAGCUGGGCUGAAAGGAUGACCAGCCACACUGGAGCUGAGACACGGUCCAUGCGCCUACGGGAGGCAGCAGGGGGGAAUAUGGCACAAUGGGCGCAAGCCUGAUGCAGCCAUUCCGCGUGUAUGAAGAAGGCCGUCGGGUUGUAAAGUACUUUCAGCUGGGAGGCGUUACCCGCAGAAGAAGCACCGGCUAACGCCGUGCCAGCAGCCGCGGUAAUAC
rnacentral:rRNA from 1 species